GCCACUGUGGAGUAGUGGUUUGAGCAUUGGACUAUGACUCCUGAGUCCAGGGUUCAAUUCCCUACUCAGCCA